rnacentral:rRNA from 1 species
GACAGAGGGGGCAAACGUUGUUCGGAAUUACUGGGCGUAAAGCGUGUGUAGGCGGCCUUAUAAGUCGGAUGUGAAAGCCCCGGGCUCAACCCGGGAAGUGCACUCGAUACUGUGAGGCUCGAGUAUCGGAGAGGUUGGUGGAAUUCUCGGUGUAGAGGUGAAAUUCGUAGAUAUCGGGAGGAACACCGGUGGCGAAGGCGGCGAUCUGGGUCGAUACUGACGCUGAGGUGCGAAAGCGUGGGGAGCAAACAGG